rnacentral:rRNA from 1 species
AUGCCGUUUCUUCCCGGCAUUUUCUCUUUUCAAAUUUACGAGCUUAUGCCAGGUAGUCAUGCUGACGACCAAGCGUGGCUAUAUAUAUUUGAGAGAGAGAGAGGUCUUCAGCAGGGAAGUCUUGGCACAACUCCCUCCGGCAGUUGGACCUUGAGACACCAUUUUGCUACGGAAAUGGCCACCGUGCCACCACGCGACAGCAGCCAAGAUGAGAUCGUGCUGGACGUCCCCACGGUGGAUCCUCCUCCGGGUCCUGGGAUCACGAGUGCUCCGCCUCCUCCGGGUCCUGAGCCCACGGUGGAUCCUCCUCGGGGUCCUGAGAUCAAGAGUGCCGAGCUCAUGCGGGACAUGAGCAAGUACAUCCUGCUGCUCGCAACGCUGGUGGCCACGGUGACGUACGCCGCGGGGUUCAACCCGCCGGGAGGCGUCUGGCAGGACACCGACGACGCCGCGGGCCGCCUCGCUGGCGACUCCAUCAUCCGGACCACCAGCUACCGCCGGUACCUGGUGUUCUACUACUGCAACGCCACCGCGUUCGCCUCGUCGCUGGUGGUCAUCGUCCUCGUCCUCUUCCUCGCCCUCCUGCGAGACAGGAACAAAUGGAUCAGCAUGCGGCCGCUGCUGGCAGCCAUGGUGUUGGACCUGGUGAGCGUCAUGGGGGCCUACGCCGCCGGCACCUGCCGCGACAAGCUCACCACCAUCUACUCCUUGGUGCUGGUGGGCCUCGUCGUCCUCUACCUUGUCGGUCAAAUGGCGGUGGCCUCCUUCUGGCCAGGUCACUACUUCUACUCCCACGACGACCCCACCGCUGAUAAACGGCUCCGCAAGGUCCUGAUGCUACUCGCGACGUUUGCGGUGAGCGUCACCUACAUAGCCGGGAUGAGCACGCCAGGUGGCUUCUGGGACGACCCCGAGAGCGGCCACCGCCCCGGCGACGCGAUCCUCAAGGACAGCCACGGCAAGCGCCUGACGACCUUCUUGUGCUUCAACGCCAUGGCGUUCGUGGCGUCGCUGCUCAUCAUCGUGGUGCUUCUGGAUAGGAAGCCCCGCUUGAAAGAGGCCUACGGGUGUAUCGCCAUUGCGCUGAUCAGCCUCGUCGGCGCGUACACCGCCGGCAGCUGCAGGGAGACCGACACCACCAUCUAUGUCAUCAGCCUGGUUGGUGCUGUCCUCGCCUUCAUUAUAUUCCUCCAAGCUGUCAUUUAUUUCAAAGAAAAAGUGCCCGUUGUUGGGAAGUUCAUAGACGACAUAAGGGCUGCCUGCUUCUGGGCCAAAAUCAAAGAUCUCCAUAAAUCCGUGUCAGGGAGGUUGCAACGAGCAGUAUCAAGGACUCCAAGUCUGCGCACUAUUAAUAGCAGGAAGGCAGCGGACAAGGCUAGCUCCCUUGUUCUGUUGCUCGCCACUCUUGCAGCGGCCAUCACAUACCAAGCAGGGUUGGACCCGCCGGGUGGAGUCUGGCAGGACAACGGACAAGGGCACAUGGCCGGCGACCCGAUCCUCUUGACCACGAAUCCUGGGCGGUACAAGGCCUUCUUCUACUGCAACUCCGUCGCCUUUGUGGCAUCCUUGGUCGCCAUCAUCCUGGUCCAGAACAAGCUUCUGCUCGAGACCCACGUGCUGGAGGCAGCCAUGGUAUUGGACUUGUUUGGCCUCAUUGGUGCGUACGCCGCCGGGAGCUGCCGGGAUGUAAGCACCUCCAUUUACGCCAUGGCCUUGGCAGGGGGCGUCCUGGUCUACGUGGUGAUCCAUGUCGUCUUCUUCACGCUGGACCACACCGACACCAUAACCCCGCAGGAAAUUGAGAUGGUGGAGAAGAGGCGCAAGCGGCUGCUCCUAUUCGCGGUCUUGGCCGCGACCGUCACUUACCAAGCCGGGUUGACUCCUCCGGGCGGUUUCCGGCUCCAUGACAAUGAGUCUGGUGGGUUUCAAGCAGGUGACCCGGUCCUCCUAAACAACUUUCCGCGCCGCUACACCGCCUAUUUCUACUGCAAUUCGGUGAGCUUCAUGCUGUCCAUUGCCCUCAUCAUACUGCUAGUGAACCCACAUCUAUACAGGCCAGCCAUACGAAGCUAUGCGCUCGCUAUUUGCACGGCGGUGGGCAUGUUUGGCCUGAUGGGUGCCUAUGCUGCCGGAAGCACGCAACAUCUGAAAACAUCCAUCUACAUCUUCGCGCUGGUGGUUGUGGUCCUCUUCGUUAUAGCUACACUGUUCCUAUUGUUCUUGAAUAAGAACAGAAACACCAGCAAUCAACCGAAGCCAGAGAAGGGUGAGGACGAUAAAAAGACAACAUAUGCCAAGCAAAAAUACCUGAUGCUGCUAGGAAUCCUUGUGGCAAGUGUCACCUACCAAGCCGGCCUAGAUCCGCCCGGGGGAGCUUGGCAGCACAGCAGUGAAUGGUACGACGCAGGCAACCCGGUCAUGCAUGACAACAGGAGGCCCCGGUACCUCGCCUUCUUCUACAGCAACUCUACGUCCUUCGUGGCGUCCAUUGUUGUAAUCAUCAUUUUGCUACUGGAGUGGAAGGACAAGAAGAAAAGGUCGCUCACACUCAGGGUGUUGAGCACGACGAUUGUGCUGGAUUUGCUCGCUCUCCUGGUGGCCUACGCAGCAGGCUCCAGCAGGGGGUGGAAGACGUCUGUGUAUGUCGUUGCACUGAUCAUUGCGGUGCUGGCCUACAUUGCAAUUCAUGUAAUCCUGGCAUUCCUGUGUUCACAUCAUAAUGACAGUUCUCAGCCCCCGGCAAAUCCUCCUCCGAUACAGGAGGAGGCGAACGGUGGGAAUCAGGCAUAG